rnacentral:rRNA from 1 species
UACGUAGGGCGCAAGCGUUGUCCGGAAUUAUUGGGCGUAAAGAGCUCGUAGGCGGUUUGUCGCGUCUGCUGUGAAAACUGGAGGCUCAACCUCCAGCCUGCAGUGGGUACGGGCAGACUAGAGUGCGGUAGGGGAGAUUGGAAUUCCUGGUGUAGCGGUGAAAUGCGCAGAUAUCAGGAGGAACACCAAUGGCGAAGGCAGCUCGCUGGGCCGUAACUGACGCUGAGGAGCGAAAGCAUGGGGAGCGAACAGG